rnacentral:rRNA from 1 species
AAUAGAUACCCCGGUAGUCCAUGCCGUAAACGAUGUCUACUAGCCGUUGGGGCCUUUGAGGCUUUAGUGGCGCAGCUAACGCGAUAAGUAGACCGCCUGGGGGAGUACGGUCGCAAGACUAAAACUCAAAUGAAUUGACGGGGGGCCCGCACAAGCGGUGGAGCAUGUGGUUUAAUUCGAUGCAACGCGAAGAACCUUACCUGGUCUUGACAUAGUAAGAACUUUCCAGAGAUGGAUUGGUGCCUUCGGGAACUUACAUACAGGUGCUGCAUGGCUGUCGUCAGCUCGUGUCGUGAGAUGUUGGGUUAAGUCCCGCAACGAGCGCAACCCUUUUCCUUAUUUGCCAGCGGGUUAAGCCGGGAACUUUAAGGAUACUGCCGGUGACAAACUGGAGGAAGGCGGGGACGACGUCAAGUCAUCAUGGCCCUUACGACCAGGGCUACGACACGUGCUACAAUGGUCGGUACAAAGGGGUUGCUACCGACGCGAGUGGAUGCUAAUCUCAAAAGCCGAUCGUAGUCCGGAUUGGAGUCUGCAACGUCGACUCCAU